GUGGGUAGUUUGACUGGGGCGGUCUCCUCCUAAAGAGUAACGGAGGAGCACGAAGGUUGGCUAAUCCUGGUCGGACAUCAGGAGGUUAGUGCAAUGGCAUAAGCCAGCUUGACUGCGAGCGUGACGGCGCGAGCAGGUGCGAAAGCAGGUCAUAGUGAUCCGGUGGUUCUGAAUGGAAGGGCCAUCGCUCAACGGAUAAAAGGUACUCCGGGGAUAACAGGCUGAUACCGCCCAAGAGUUCAUAUCGACGGCGGUGUUUGGCACCUCGAUGUCGGCUCAUCACAUCCUGGGGCUGAAGUAGGUCCCAAGGGUAUGGCUGUUCGCCAUUUAAAGUGGUACGCGAGCUGGGUUUAGAACGUCGUGAGACAGUUCGGUCCCUAUCUGCCGUGGGCGCUGGAGAACUGAGGGGGGCUGCUCCUAGUACGAGAGGACCGGAGUGGACGCAUCACUGGUGUUCGGGUUGUCAUGCCAAUGGCACUGCCCGGUAGCUAAAUGCGGAAGAGAUA
rnacentral:rRNA from 5 species